CUUGGUCAUUUAGAGGAAGUAAAAGUCAUAACAAGGUUUCCGUAGGUGAACCUGCGGAAGGAUCAUUAAUAGUGCCCAUUGAUGCAAAUCAUUGGGUUAGAUCUGCCCUUAUCGCAAGAUGAGGGCUUCCAUAUACACCGUGAACUGUGGCUUCGGCCAUCACAAACUGUUAGUAAUGAAUGUAAUAUCAUAACAAAAACAAAACUUUUAACAACGGAUCUCUUGGCUCUCGCAUCGAUGAAGAACGCAGCGAAAUGCGAUAAGUAAUGUGAAUUGCAGAAUUCAGUGAAUCAUCGAAUCUUUGAACGCACCUUGCGCCCUUUGGUAUUCCGAAGGGCAUGCCUGUUUGAGUGUCAUGAAACCUCACCCCACUUAGGUUUUUGCCUAAGCGGUGGUGUAUUGGGUGUUUGCCUUGCUAAAGGCUCGCCUUAAAGAUAUAAGCACCUUGGAUGUAAUACGUUUCAUCCUUCUGGGUGGCUGAUAACCCACAUAUUCAUGAUCUGGCCUCAAAUCAGGUAGGGCUACCCGCUGAACUUAAGCAUAUCAAUAAGCGGAGGAAAAGAAACUAACUAGGAUUCCCUUAGUAACGGCGAGUGAACCGGGAUGAGCUCAAAUUUAAAAUCUGGCGUCUUUCAGGCGUCCGAGUUGUAAUCUAUAGAGGCGUUUUCCGCGCCGGACCGCGUCCAAGUCUCUUGGAAUAGAGUAUCAAAGAGGGUGACAAUCCCGUACUUGACGCGACAACCGGUGCUCUGUGAUACGUUCUCAAUGAGUCGAGUUGUUUGGGAAU
rnacentral:sRNA from 1 species